rnacentral:lncRNA from 11 species
CCCAGGCCGUGAGUCAGGAAAGCUCGCUUAGGCACAGCUCCGAGUGACAAGAUUAAGAACUAAAGUCCCAGAGAAACCAUGCCAGGACAAUCAUCUCUCAAACCGUCUCUUCUGCUUUCCCCCCCUUUGAAAUUUCAAAUUCCAGUUUGUGGACAAAGUCCUGCCUAUCUGAGAAUAUAGAUCUCCGACCACUGACCAAACUCCAUUUCAAGUGACUAACCAGUUCUGCCUUUUCUCAGUCUCUGGCAUUCAGUGCUGAGAGCCACUAGGAAGACCACAAACCAGCCUUCCUGGCCUGAAGAGCUUCACAUCUUUUAAAAACUGGAUUAAAAAACAAUUUUGGGGAUUUCUGAGACAAAGAUUCGGGAAGAGGACCCUUUCUGAUCGCCAAUAACAAACCAGCCACUCACAUGAAAAAGACCAAUUCAAACAACUUGCAGUGGCCCAGACAUUCCAUAUACCAGAAGAGAAGAAAGCCAGGCUUUUGUCCCGUGUUAGCCGCCCCGAGUCCCAGCCAGGAGAUGGAGGCGGGAUAG